CCUACGGGCGGCAGCAGUGGGGAAUAUUGCACAAUGGGGGAAACCCUGAUGCAGCGACGCCGCGUGAAGGAAGAAGUAUUUCGGUAUGUAAACUUCUAUUAGCAGGGAAAAAAAUGACGGUACCUGACUCAGAAGCCCCGGCUAACUACGUGCCAGCUGCCGUGGUAACACGUCGGCGGCAAGCGUUAUCCGGAUUUACUGGGUGUAAAGGGAGCGUAGGCGGUUUAGCAAGUCAGAAGUGAAAGCCCGGGGCUCAACUCCGGGACUGCCUUUGAAACUGUGGAACGAGAUUGCAGGAGAGGUAUGUGGAAGUCCUAGUGUAGCGGUGAAAUGCGUAGAUAUUAGGCGGAACACCAGUGGCGAAGGCAGCUUACUGGACUGUAAAUGACGCUGAGGCACGAAAGCGUGGGGAGCAAACAGGAUUAGAUACCCUAGUAGUC
rnacentral:rRNA from 1 species